UCAAAUGAAAAUCUUCUAGAGCUGACUAUAGAAAAGAAUUGUCACUUUAUAUUUAAGAACAUUCUCUUUUCUGCUGCCCUCCACCCUUGCCUCCUGGGAGAGACUCCACAUGGGGCAAGCUGAAAAGCCAUGUGUGCUAAAGUGUCACUGUCCCUCUCAUGCCAGAAUGAGCUGGGAUCCCAGAAUGUGUCCUUUGCCAAAGGGGCGAAUCAGCUGCGCCUUCUCCCUGUCCUGUCACAUUCCUGUGGCUGCAUCUGUCCGAGCUCAUCAGGACUGACUCCUGGAAUAGAAACACUCCAGCCUCUGCUGCUUGCCAUUUUAAGUUAAGUUGGACUUGAGGGGGGGGGGUUCCACUUUACCGUUUCAUUUCUAACCUAAAACGUAUGAUCAGCAUAGCCAUAUGUGUACAUCGGGAACAAAAAUUUGUCUUAUGGUUCAGUCAACAAUACUUUCUUUUCAUAGGGAGAGUUUCUAUCUUGCCAGUAGGAAUAUUUCUGGGAAUUCAGAGUUAAUCUGACUUUUGUGCUGAGUUGAAACGGACUGUAUUUCAUCUAAAUGGAUCAGAAAAUGUUUUCUGGCUCCCAAUUUCCCAUCGGGCACAGGCACAGAACGUUACCGCCCGCUGUAGACGGCAGUCAGUGAAUUGCUCCGGAGUCGGGAGCACGCGGUCACGGCCACCCUCUCGCACCCACACACCCAUACGCACCCUCGAAUCUAGAAGACAGGAAUUGGAGAGCGUGGCCCCAGCUCCUUACCCUCCUGUGCGAAGUGGCGUCCAGACGUGUGAUGGUAAAGACAACCUUUUUCAAAUCCCCUUGGCCAUGUGACUACAUUCUGGCUAAUGAGAUGGCAGCAGAAGCAGGAUGUGGGACUUCUAGGAAGUCUCCUUCCUACGAGAGAAAGAGGGAAAAAACACAUCUCUCAUUUUGAAAAAGAUGUUCUUAUUCAAGAAAUGGUUUGCGGACCCCUGGUCUAGAAAAUAUGCGAGCAGCUCUGAGAAAAGAGGCCAAGAAGACCGAGAGCCUAAAAUGUCUCAGCACUGCCACAGACCUUUGCUCAUUCACUGUUUCAUUUAGUCCCAACAAGUGAGCAGGAUAAGAGGUAUUUCCCCCAUUUUCACAGGGGCAAAAAAUGUUGUUCUCAAGAUGAGAAGUCAAAGUCUACAUGGCUAGUGAAUGUGGGGCUUGAAUUAAAGUCCAAUCAGUCUGA